AAGUCGUAACAAGGUUUCCGUAGGUGAACCUGCGGAAGGAUCAUUACAUAGCGUGCAAUUUGCGCGCGGACACGCCUGGGCUUCGGCCUGGGGGUGCUCUUGUCCUUGCCUGUUUGUACCUUUUGUUGCUUCCUCGGCGGGAGCUUUCCCGCCGCUAGGAACCCCAAAAAACACCUUGCAAUUAGCAAUCUAUUCUGAUAAAAUACCUAAAUCGUUACAACUUUCAACAAUGGAUCUCUUGGUUCUG
rnacentral:misc_RNA from 1 species